rnacentral:ncRNA from 1 species
ACAAAAGCUUUGAUAGGACAAAGUAAAUAUGAAGAUAUUUGAAGAGAACGGGAAUUAGGUGGGAACCUGUAAAUACACAUAUUGAAACUCAUCCAGGAGCUGCAGGCUGAAUGUAGAUAUAGUUAGUAAGCUGAGCCGGUUUUUGUAUAAAUCGUUACAUCAAUUGAGCAUAAAAUUGGGUGGUACCGCGGUAGCUCUUUUUCGCCCCAGCG